GCUGACACAUUCCAGCCAAUCAGCAGCAGACCCUCCCUCCCAGACCCUCCCACCUCCUGGACAGCAUCCAUUUUGAAGCAGCAUUCUUAGUGAGCUGUCCAGGAGUUGGGAGGGUCUAGGAGGGAGGGUCUGCUUCUGAUUGGCUGGAAUGUGUCUG